AAGUGUAAUUUUUAAAAACACACACUGCUUAUAAACGCUUUUCCCGGGUGCCUUUUAAGGUUGGGGAAACGGAGCAGUGGAGGCAUAAC
rnacentral:sRNA from 1 species